CGGGUACAAAACGUCGGCUGGUAGUCGUGGAAGAUACGUACGUUGUACUUUGGUCGAUUAACUUAUGUUAUUGUGUCAUUGGUAAUAUCGAUAAUAUUUUCUGAUUUGUGAUUUUCUUACUGGUAAUGUUAAAAGAUGCCAAGGACAAAUAAAAGGUUUAAAGCAACUGUAGCUGUCACAUAUCAUGAUGAGGAUGGCCAUGUUGAGAGAGAGGAGGUGGAUUUGUCAGAAUUGGUUACUGAGGAUCAUAGAGGAAGCUGUUCUAUUAACAGU